rnacentral:rRNA from 1 species
UCGGGAAUUUUGGGCAAUGGGCGAAAGCCUGACCCAGCAACGCCGCGUGAAGGAUGAAGUAUUUCGGUAUGUAAACUUCGAAAGAAUAGGAAGAAUAAAUGACGGUACUAUUUAUAAGGUCCGGCUAACUACGUGCCAGCAGCCGCGGUAAUACGUAGGGACCAAGCGUUGUUCGGAUUUACUGGGCGUAAAGGGCGCGUAGGCGGCAAUUCAAGUCAUCUGUGAAAUCUCCGGGCUUAACUCGGAACGGUCAGAUGAUACUGCUUUGCUAGAGUGCAGAAGGGGCAAUCGGAAUUCUGGUGUAGCGGUGAAAUGCGUAGAUAUCAAGAGGAACACCUGAGGUGAAGACGGGUUGCUGGGCUGACACUGACGCUGAGGCGCGAAAGCC